rnacentral:misc_RNA from 1 species
UGGUAGAUUACCUCGCCCUGG